AUAUCAUCUUCAAUUAGUUCCAACUAUUUUAUCAUCAAGCGUGUCAAAUAGGCAUGGACGUUGUGAAACAAACAAUGAAGACAUAUGGCACACAAAAGAGCUCGGCACAUGUAAGAGUUUACUGGCUAAAGUUGAUGGAAUAUUCCAGUGCAAACUGUGUCCAGAAUCAACGUCACGGCGGUACAAUGUCAAGGAAGGACACAUAAACAAGCACACACAACAUGCCGUCAAAGUUGGGGAUUUAUGGGUGUUAAGCUGCUUUUUGGAUUGUACUCCGAAACAAGACCGGUGCCAUUACCACUGCCCGUGUGGUAAACUCUUUCGGAGAAAGUUCACAUUUGUCCGACACACGACCACGGUUUGCCCUUUUGUUCUGACAACAAACCAGACAGCUUCUGAGGAAAGAACUUCAGCAGAGUCCCCUAACAUCCAAAAAGUGAAGAGAGAGCAAGUUCCGAAAGAGACAUGUUUUGUCUGCAAUGCAAUGAUCUCUAAGAAAAACAUUAAAAGACAUAUUGAGACACACAAUG